UCUCUUGUGCUCGGGCAUGUACUGUCGCCAGUGAGGUCUUUACCGAGGCACAGUCUUUUGCUGAUUGCAAAUUACACAUCCGAACCCGUCUGUUAGCUUCGGCUUUCAGCAAUUUUUGAAAACCCAUUGGCUGUGACGCUCUGUUUUGAAUGGA
rfam:Rhizopogon vinicolor AM-OR11-026 unplaced genomic scaffold K503scaffold_287, whole genome shotgun sequence.